ACCUCCCCUGCUACUGUUCUCGCCUUAUUUUGUUUCAAUUUUUUUUUACAAAAUGGACACUGUAGCAUUUUUAUUUGUAUUUGACAAAUAUUGUCUAAUAAUAGAUUAACUAAGUUUAAAAAAUUCGUCUCACAAAUUACAGUUAAAGUGUGCAAUCAAUUUUUUCUUUUAUUUAUAUUUAAUACUCUAUGUAUGUGCCGCAAAAUUCUGUGUGAUGAAGAAUCUGAAAAAAUUUAUAAUUUUUUUUGGACUAAACAAGCCCAGUGAUGCAGCCCGUUGCACGUAUUAUUUUACCAGGAACGUGGAUCAGGUUUGCGAAUCUGAGGAUAUUUUACUCUGGACCAGCUGUUCCAUUCCACGACAGGCCAAGUCCUCUACCAAGUGUGUAAGGAUGUUUGAUUAGAGGUAUUAAAGUUUAAUAGAUAUAGCAGUAUUUUUGUCUUAUUUGAUAAUUAGUUUUUAAUUAUAGACUAAUUAAGUUUAAAAGAUUCAUUUAGCAAAUUAUUUUCUAGUUUUUAGUUUUAUAAAUAAUCUAUAUUUAGUACUCUAUAUAUAUAUAUCUAAACAUUCGAUGUGAUAGAUGUUAAAAAAAAACAUAAGCAACCAAAUAGAACCUAGCUCAUUCACAUCAAAUAUAUAUAGCAGCAGUAGCAGAUCAGAUCAACACAUAAAAAUAAAAAACUAUAUAUGGAGCAGGCAAACGCCAGCGAUGGACACAUGGAUGACCAGCCAACUAG
rnacentral:lncRNA from 1 species